GACGAACGCUGGCGGCGUGCUUAACACAUGCAAGUCGAACGGAAAGGCCCUGCUUUUGUGGGGUGCUCGAGUGGCGAACGGGUGAGUAACACGUGAGUAACCUGCCCUUGACUUUGGGAUAACUUCAGGAAACUGGGGCUAAUACCGGAUAGGAGCUCCUGCUGCAUGGUGGGGGUUGGAAAGUUUCGGCGGUUGGGGAUGGACUCGCGGCUUAUCAGCUUGUUGGUGGGGUAGUGGCUUACCAAGGCUUUGACGGGUAGCCGGCCUGAGAGGGUGACCGGCCACAUUGGGAUUGAGAUACGGCCCAGACUCCACCGGGAGGCAGCGGUGGGGAAGAUUGCACAAGGGGCGGAAGCCUGAUGCAGCAACGCCGCGUGCGGGAUGACGGCCUUCGGGUUGUAAUCCGCUUUCGCCUGUGACGAAGCGUGAGUGACGGUAAUGGGUAAAGAAGCACCGGCUAACUACGUG
rnacentral:rRNA from 1 species